UUCGCAAUGCCCGAAAGGGUGACGAUGCGACGCCGCGUGAGCGAAGAAGGCCCUAGGGUUGUAAAGCUCUGUCGAGGGUUAUGAAAUAUAGAUGGGUUAAUACCCCAUUUAUUUGACAAAGGCCCAAAAGGAAGCCACGGCUAACUCAGUGCCAGCAGCCGCGGUAAUACAGAGGUGGCGAGCGUUGUUCGGUAUUAUUGGGCGUAAAGAGCACGUAGGUGGUUUUGUAAGUCAGGUGUGAAAGCCUUCUGUUCAAAGGAAGAACGGCAUCUGAAACUGCAGAUCUUGAGUGUAGGAGGGGAGAGUGGAACUUCUGGUGGAGCGGUGAAAUGCGUAGAUAUCAGAAGGAACGUCGGCGGCGAAAGCGACUCUCUGGCCUAUUACUGACACUGAGUGUGCGAAAGUUAGGGGAGCAAACGGGAUUAGAUACCCCGGUAGUCCUAACCGUAAACGAUGGGCACUAAGUAGAGGGGUUUU
rnacentral:rRNA from 1 species